UACAGAGGGGGCAAGCGUUGUUCGGAAUUACUGGGCGUAAAGGGCGCGUAGGCGGCCUGUUAAGUCGAACGUGAAAUCCCUGGGCUCAACCCAGGAACUGCGUCCGAUACUGGCAGGCUUGAAUUCGGGAGAGGGAUGCGGAAUUCCAGGUGUAGCGGUGAAAUGCGUAGAUAUCUGGAGGAACACCGGUGGCGAAGGCGGCAGUCCUGGACCGAGAUUGACGCUGAGGCGCGAAAGCCAGGGGAAGCAAAGCGGGG
rnacentral:rRNA from 1 species